rnacentral:rRNA from 1 species
GACGAACGCUGGCGGCGUGCCUAACACAUGCAAGUCGAACGGAGUUAUUUCUUCGGAGAUAACUUAGUGGCGAACGGGUGAGUAACGCGUGAGAAACCUGCCUUUCAGUGGGGGACAACAGUUGGAAACGACUGCUAAUACCGCAUAACGUAUCGAGGGGGCAUCCUCUUGAUACCAAAGCUUUAUGUGCUGAAAGAUGGUCUCGCGUCUGAUUAGCUAGUUGGUGAGGUAACGGCUCACCAAGGCGACGAUCAGUAGCCGGUCUGAGGAGAUGAACGGCCACUAGUUGGGACUGAGAGUACCGGCCCAGACCUCCGUACGGGAGGCAGCAGGU